rnacentral:rRNA from 1 species
AACGAACGCUGGCGGCAGGCCUACCACAUGCAAGUCGAGCGGACCCUUCGGGGUUAGCGGCGGACGGGUGAGUAACGCGUGGGAACGUGCCCUUUGCUUCGGAAUAGCCCUGGGAAACUGGGAGUAAUACCGGAUACGCCCUUUUGGGGAAAGAUUUAUCGGCGAAGGAUCGGCCCGCGUUGGAUUAGGUAGUUGGUGGGGUAAUGGCCUACCAAGCCGACGAUCCAUAGCUGGUUUGAGAGGAUGAUCAGCCACACUGGGACUGAGACACGGCCCAGACUCCUACGGGAGGCAGCAGUGGGGAAUCUUAGACAAUGGGGGAAACCCUGAUCUAGCCAUGCCGCGUGAGCGAUGAAGGCCUUAGGGUUGUAAAGCUCUUUCACCGGGGAAGAUAAUGACGGUACCCGGAGAAGAAGCCCCGGCUAACUCCGUG